rnacentral:pre_miRNA from 1 species
AGUGGGAUUGUUGGAUCAUAUGGUAAGUGUAUGUUUAACUUUAGAAGAAACAGCCAAACUGCUUUCAAAGUGGCUGUACCAUUUUACAUUCCCACCAGCAAU